GGGUGAGUAACACGUGGGCAACCUGCCUGUAAGAUCGGAAUAACCCCGGGAAACCGGGGCUAAUGCCGGGUAAUACUUUCUUUCGCAUGAAGGAAAGUUGAAAGAUGGCUUCUUGCUAUCACUUACAGAUGGGCCCGCGGCGCAUUAGCUAGUUGGUGAGGUAACGGCUCACCAAGGCGACGAUGCGUAGCCGACCUGAGAGGGUGAUCGGCCACACUGGGACUGAGACACGGCCCAGACUCCUACGGGAGGCAGCAGUAGGGAAUCUUCCGCAAUGGACGAAAGUCUGACGGAGCAACGCCGCGUGAACGAUGAAGGUCUUCGGAUCGUAAAGUUCUGUUGUUAGGGAAGAACAAGUACCGUGCGAAUAGAGCGGUACCUUGACGGUACCUAACGAGGAAGCCCCGGCUAACUACGUGCCAGCAGCCGCGGUAAUACGUAGGGGGCAAGCGUUGUCCGGAAUUAUUGGGCGUAAAGCGCGCGCAGGCGGUUCCUUAAGUCUGAUGUGAAAGCCCACGGCUCAACCGUGGAGGGUCAUUGGAAACUGGGGAACUUGAGGACAGAAGAGGAGAGUGGAAUUCCACGUGUAGCGGUGAAAUG
rnacentral:rRNA from 1 species